rnacentral:rRNA from 1 species
UACGAAGGGUGCAAACGUUGUUCGGAAUUACUGGGCGUAAAGCGCACGUAGGCGGAUUGUUAAGUCGGGGGUGAAAUCCUGGAGCUCAACUCCAGAACUGCCUUCGAUACUGGCGAUCUCGAGUUCGGGAGAGGUGAGUGGAACUGCGAGUGUAGAGGUGAAAUUCGUAGAUAUUCGCAAGAACACCAGUGGCGAAGGCGGCUCACUGGCCCGAUACUGACGCUGAGGUGCGAAAGCGUGGGGAGCAAACAGG